rnacentral:rRNA from 1 species
UCCAGACUCCUACGGGAGGCAGCAGUGGGGGAUAUUGCACAAUGGGGGAAACUCUGAUGCAGCGACGCCGCGUGAGGGAAGACGGUCUUCGGAUUGUAAACCUCUGUCUUUGGGGAAGAAAAUGACGGUACCCAAAGAGGAAGCUCCGGCUAACUACGUGCCAGCAGCCGCGGUAAUACGUAGGGGGCGAGCGUUGUCCGGAAUUACUGGGCGUAAAGAGUGCGUAGGCGGCACUACAAGUCUCAUGUGAAAUCCCCGGGCUUAACUUGGGGGUUGCAUGGGAAACUGUCGAGCUUGAGUACAGGAGAGGCAAGCGGAAUUCCUGGUGUAGCGGUGAAAUGCAUAGAUAUUAGGAGGAACACCAGUGGCGAAGGCGGCUUGCUGGACUGAAACUGACGCUGAGGCUCGAAAGCGUGGGGAGCAAACAGGAUUAGAUACCCCAGUA